UACAGAGGUGGCAAGCGUUGUUCGGAAUUACUGGGCGUAAAGGGCGCGUAGGCGGUUCGUUAAGUCCUGUGUGAAAUCCCCCGGCUCAACUGGGGAACUGCACAGGAAACUAGCGGGCUUGAGUUCGGGAGAGGGAAGCGGAAUUCCGGGUGUAGCGGUGAAAUGCGUAGACAUCCGGAGGAACACCGGUGGCGAAGGCGGCUUCCUGGACCGACACUGACGCUGAGGCGCGAAAGCUAGGGGAGCAAACGGG
rnacentral:rRNA from 1 species